UAAGCCUGCGAAGGUGGCCUGUGAGGGUUGCUGGAGGUAUCAGAAGUGCGAAUGCUGACAUAAGUAACGAUAAAGCGGGUGAAAAGCCCGCUCGCCGGAAGACCAAGGGUUCCUGUCCAACGUUAAUCGGGGCAGGGUGAGUCGACCCCUAAGGCGAGGCCGAAAGGCGUAGUCGAUGGGAAACGGGUUAAUAUUCCCGUACUUGGUGUUACUGCGAAGGGGGGACGGAGAAGGCUAUGUUGGCCGGGCGACGGUUGUCCCGGUUUAAGCGUGUAGGUGUGUGUUCCAGGUAAAUCCGGUUCACUUUAACACUGAGGCGUGACGACGAGGCACUACGGUGCUGAAGCAACAAAUGCCCUGCUUCCAGGAAAAGCCUCUAAGCAUCAGGUAACAUCAAAUCGUACCCCAAACCGACACAGGUGGUCAGGUAGAGAAUACCAAGGCGCUUGAGAGAACUCGGGUGAAGGAACUAGGCAAAAUGGUGCCGUAACUUCGGGAGAAGGCACGCUGACACGUAGGUGAAGUGAUUUACUCAUGGAGCUGAAGUCAGUCGAAGAUACCAGCUGGCUGCAACUGUUUAUUAAAAACACAGCACUGUGCAAACACGAAAGUGGACGUAUACGGUGUGACGCCUGCCCGGUGCCGGAAGGUUAAUUGAUGGGGUCAGCGCAAGCGAAGCUCCUGAUCGAAGCCCCGGUAAACGGCGGCCGUAACUAUAACGGUCCUAAGGUAGCGAAAUUCCUUGUCGGGUAAGUUCCGACCUGCACGAAUGGCGUAAUGAUGGCCAGGCUGUCUCCACCCGAGACUCAGUGAAAUUGAACUCGCUGUGAAGAUGCAGUGUACCCGCGGCAAGACGGAAAGACCCCGUGAACCUUUACUAUAGCUUGACACUGAACAUUGAGCCUUGAUGUGUAGGAUAGGUGGGAGGCUUUGAAGUGUGGACGCCAGUCUGCAUGGAGCCGGCCUUGAAAUACCACCCUUUAAUGUUUGAUGUUCUAACGUGGACCCGUGAUCCGGGUUGCGGACAGUGUCUGGUGGGUAGUUUGACUGGGGCGGUCUCCUCCUAAAGAGUAACGGAGGAGCACGAAGGUUGGCUAAUCCUGGUCGGACAUCAGGAGGUUAGUGCAAUGGCAUAAGCCAGCUUGACUGCGAGCGUGACGGCGCGAGCAGGUGCGAAAGCAGGUCAUAGUGAUCCGGUGGUUCUGAAUGGAAGGGCCAUCGCUCAACGGAUAAAAGGUACUCCGGGGAUAACAGGCUGAUACCGCCCAAGAGUUCAUAUCGACGGCGGUGUUUGGCACCUCGAUGUCGGCUCAUCACAUCCUGGGGCUGAAGUAGGUCCCAAGGGUAUGGCUGUUCGCCAUUUAAAGUGGUACGCGAGCUGGGUUUAGAACGUCGUGAGACAGUUCGGUCCCUAUCUGCCGUGGGCGCUGGAGAACUGAGGGGGGCUGCUCCUAGUACGAGAGGACCGGAGUGGACGCAUCACUGGUGUUCGGGUUGUCAUGCCAAUGGCACUGCCCGGUAGCUAAAUGCGGAAGAGAUAAGUGCUGAAAGCAUCUAAGCACGAAACUUGCCCCGAGAUGAGUUCUCCCUGAGACUUUAGGUCUCCUGAAGGAACG
rnacentral:rRNA from 1 species